rnacentral:rRNA from 1 species
AUUGAACGCUGGCGGCAUGCCUUACACAUGCAAGUCGAACGGUAACAGGUUAAGCUGACGAGUGGCGAACGGGUGAGUAAUAUAUCGGAACGUGCCCAGUCGUGGGGGAUAACUGCUCGAAAGAGCAGCUUAUACCGCAUACGACCUGAGGGUGAAAGCGGGGGAUCGCAAGACCUCGCGCGAUUGGAGCGGCCGAUAUC